CCGGCGCACGGGUGAGUAACGCGUAUACAAUUUGCCUUUUACUGAAGAAUAGCCCAGAGAAAUUUGGAUUAAUGCUUCAUGGUAUUAUUUGGUCACCUGACCGAGUAAUUAAAGCUCCGGCGGUAAAAGAUGAGUAUGCGUCCUAUUAGCUAGAUGGUAAGGUAACGGCUUACCAUGGCGACGAUAGGUAGGGGUCCUGAGAGGGAGAUCCCCCACACUGGUACUGAGACACGGACCAGACUCCUACGGGAGGCAGCAGUGAGGAAUAUUGGGCAAUGGAGGCAACUCUGACCCAGCCAUGCCGCGUGCAGGAAGACGGCCCUAUGGGUUGUAAACUGCUUUUAUACAGGAAGAAACUUAUCCACGUGUGGAUAACUGACGGUACUGUAAGAAUAAGGACCGGCUAACUCCGUGCCAGCAGCCGCGGUAAUACGGAGGGUCCAAGCGUUAUCCGGAAUCAUUGGGUUUAAAGGGUCCGUAGGCGGGCAAUUAAGUCAGAGGUGAAAUCCCACAGCUCAACUGUGGAACUGCCUUUGAUACUGGUUGUCUUGAGUUACAGUGAAGUAGAUAGAAUAUGUAGUGUAGCGGUGAAAU
rnacentral:rRNA from 1 species